rnacentral:rRNA from 1 species
UUAAAUUGAAGAGUUUGAUCAUGGCUCAGAUUGAACGCUGGCGGCAGGCCUAACACAUGCAAGUCGAACGGUAACAGGAAGAAGCUUGCUGCUUUGCUGACGAGUGGCGGACGGGUGAGUAAUGUCUGGGAAACUGCCUGAUGGAGGGGGAUAACUACUGGAAACGGUAGCUAAUACCGCAUAACGUCGCAAGACCAAAGAGGGGGACCUUCGGGCCUCUUGCCAUCGG